UGAGGAAUAUUGGUCAAUGGACGCAAGUCUGAACCAGCCAAGUAGCGUGCAGGAUGACGGCCCUAUGGGUUGUAAACUGCUUUUAUAUGGGGAUAAAGUGGGGAACGUGUUCCCUUUUGCAGGUACCAUAUGAAUAAGGACCGGCUAAUUCCGUGCCAGCAGCCGCGGUAAUACGGAAGGUUCGGGCGUUAUCCGGAUUUAUUGGGUUUAAAGGGAGCGUAGGCCGUUUGGUAAGCGUGUUGUGAAAUGUAGGAGCUCAACUUCUAGAUUGCAGCGCGAACUUGCAGACUUUAGUGGGCACAACGUAGGCGGAAUUCCUGGUGUAGCGGUUAAAUUCUUAGAUAUCAUGAAAAACUCCGAUUGGGAAGGCAGCUUACGGGGGCGCAACUGACGCUGAAGGUCGAAGGUGCGGGUAUCGAACAGG
rnacentral:rRNA from 1 species